rnacentral:rRNA from 1 species
UUGAACGCUGGCGGCAUGCCUUACACAUGCAAGUCGAACGGUAGAGGGGCAACCCUUGAGAGUGGCGAACGGGUGAGUAAUGCAUCGGAACGUGCCCAGUCGUGGGGGAUAACGCAGCGAAAGCUGUGCUAAUACCGCAUGUGAUCUGUGGAUGAAGGCAGGGGACCGCAAGGCCUUGUGCGAUUGGAGCGGCCGAUGUCAGAUUAGCUAGUUGGUAGGGUAAAAGCCUACCAAGGCGACGAUCUGUAGCUG